AUUGGGGCGUAAGCGCGCGCAGGCGGUUUCUUAAGUCUGAUGUGAAAGCCCACGGCUCAACCGGGGAGGGGCAUUGGAAACUGGGGAACUUGAGUGCAGAAGAGAAAGGCGGAAUUCCACGUGUAGCGGUGAAAUGCGUAGAGAUGUGGAGGAACACCAGUGGCGAAGGCGGCUUUUUGGUCUGUAACUGACGCUGAGGCGCGAAAGCGUGGGGAGCAAACAGGAUUAGAUACCCUGGUAGUCCACGCCGUAAACGAUGAGUGCUAAGUGUUAGAAGGUUUCCGCCCUUUAGUGCUGCAGCUAACGCAUUAAGCACUCCGCCGGGGGAGUACGGUCGCAAGACUGAAACUCAAAGGAAUUGACGGGGGCCCGCACAAGCGGUGGAGCAGGUGGUUUAAUUCGAAGCACCGCGAAAAACCUUACCAGGUCUUGACAUCCUCUGACUACUCUGAAGAUAGAUGGUUCCCCUUCGGGGGACAGAGUGACAGGUGGUGGAUGGUUGUCGUCUCCUCGUGUCAUGAGAUGUUGGGUUAAGUCCCGCAACGAGCGCAACCGUUGAUCUUAGUUGCCAGCAUUUGGUUGGGCACUCUAAGGUGACUGCCGGUGACAAACCGGAGGAA
rnacentral:rRNA from 2 species